CACAGGGGGAAAAACAGCCCCACCUGUCUUAGAGAUUCCACAAGGCUGACUGAAUUUCCAUGAUUGCAGAUAGAUGGAAUGUUAUAGGUCCCGAGCCAAAUUAACUUGUGCUAUCUUAAGAGCCAAGGAAACUACUUCCCAAAGCACAGAUCUGGUCUAAUGCACACGUCCCAGGAGUAGCUUUAGCUUGGAGAAGCUUGAGAUCUUCGCGGGUGAGGGGGGGAGGAGAAGCAGAGUCAAGAGGGAAAUGCUCAGGAAAAAAAGCUUACAUUUCGUACUUGAUGGUCAGUUGUGUUUGUUGUCAUUUGACAAAAUUAGAAUCAACUAGAGGAUGGGCCUGAGUAUGUCUGUGAGAGAUUACAGUGACUGGCAAGAUGCACCUGCUGUGGGAAUGGAAUCCUGAACAGUAUAAACACGGAGACAAUGAGCUGAGCACAUUAAAAACUUGGUGAUGUGUGUAAUCCCAGUGCUGGGAGGCAGGAAAGGUGGAACUUGAGGGCUUUCUUGUCUGCCCACUUAGCCUAGUUGGUUGGUCAUCAUUAAGAUUUAAAAAAAAAAAAAAAAAAAAAAAAAGGGAAGGUAGUUUUGCUCCUGGGGAGUGACAGCUGAGGCUAUUAAACCCUGGCCUCCGCAGGGAGCUGACACACACCUGUGCUCACACAUACCUACACAUACACAUGCACACACGAAGACUGAAGUCAAAGCAGCCUUGAUUGUCAGUAACAGGCUUCCAAUUAUCUACUUGGAAAACCACGCCCAAUGAAACGAGCAUCGCAUGAGAAUUUACUGUUAUUCAACCAGUUUUAACAUCGUAGUGAGACAAAAUGCGUCCACGUUUCGGAGAUAGUUUCGCUCUACAAAGGAUGAUGCAGGAAGGUUUGAGGCCGGCUUGGGCUACCUGUAUGAUCUCGGGUCAGUCUGAUGUACAUAGGGAGACGCUACCCAGAAACUCAAAAGGUUCUCCUUGAAGUUUGUGUUUGUAAGGAUUUAGUUUACCUACUUUUCUCCUCGGUAUGCCCUCAACAUGGCAUGAAAGACUUUAGAAACUGGGAUUCACCAUAAUGCUCACCAACUCGGGAAUUUCCUACCACGCCUCUGAAAGGCUGGGAUUGUUGGCGUCCACCACCUCGUCAGUCGCCUACUGCAUCACUUUACAUUAAAAACUAGCAAUAGAAAGUCUUUGCAGUAACCUCACUCAGUCCUGAAAGUCGGCGCAGAGCUCCGGACAGGUCGCUCCCCGCCCACUUCUGGUUGCACGCUUCCGGUGGCGCUACGCGUUGUGCCGCCCCGGCACCCUUUCGGUCCCGCAGCAUCGCUGAGGUUCGGCGGCUACGGUCGCUCAAGCGGCCGCAGGACCGGUCGCGAUGCUCCACGGGACUCCAGGGGACAGCGGGCCUCUUCAGAGCAACUUCCGGACAUCCUGCUCCGUGGAGCUCCCGCGAAACUCGGUUCCGCCUGCGUACUGGGUGACGUGACCGGAAGGGCGGGCUUUGGCUACGGAGCCUCCAACUCGGCCUUCCGUAGGCGCGCUCUCGACUUGCUGAGCCAAUCGAAAGCCACGUUUUGUCGUAACAGCCAAUCUGAGAGGCCCGGAGCCUUUAAGGCCCUCCGUGGGCUGCACUUCGGCCUCUGUCUUGCUCGGAAGUUCUUUUGUUCGCCGUCUCUGGUGUUUCUACCGUGUGUACCUGCUCGCGUGCAAUCCGCCGCCAUCGCGCUUUGGGCGAGCAUUGUAAUGGGUAGUAGAGAGGCGGCAGCCGAGCGGAGGCCGACCUGGCUUUGGCGAUGGUGGCGCGCGCUCUGGAGGACCGAUCGGAGACCAGCGCCCGGAGGCGGCUCACUGAUGUGGAGGUGACGGAGGAGCUUUUGGUGUGACCUGGCGCCAUGUGUGUGAUACCACACGAGCUUGACCGAGCGUGCCACGCAAUCAUAAUUCAGCGAACCUUUUGCUUCGAUGAGGCAUCGUGUUGGUGAUGACUAGAAGACAUACGUGGCUUGGAAGAUGACGUGAAAUACACAGGAAAGGAAAGAAGUAAAAGGAUGUUUUGCUUAAGAGUAUGCCAUUUGCAAAUUCAUUCAAUAAUUUGGAGAUUUAUAUAAGGGCCUGUUCAGACAGUGGUGUUUCUGAUUCCUGCUAAGGAAAGUGCUCCACACAAGCCUGAUGACCUGAGCUAAUUCCUGAGGCCCACAGGGUGGAAGAUGAGAGUUGACUCCUGAAAGUAUCUUCAAACCACACAUACACAAUAAGAAAAAACAAUAUAGUAAAGCUGAAACAUUAGAGUGUUGCUGUUUUAUUGAAAUGUAAAAUGGUACAAGUAAUUAUGGAACAAAUGUAUUCCAUACCUUGUGACAGUUUUGUGUAAAACCUUACCCUCUUCUAAAUGAGAAAGGGAUUAAAGUUGUCAAAAGAAUUUAACUUUUAAGUCUUUCAUUUUCUUUUAUAAAGGUUUAUUUCUGAUGGUAUGUUGUAUGUUUGUGUGCCCUCAUACAGCUGGAGUUACAGACAGUUGUGAGCUGCCUGAGGUGGGUACUGUGAGCAACAUGCUCUCACAAGUACCAAGUCAUCUCUCCAGCCCAACUUUUUGUGAAUGAAUUUGAAAGUUUUUGCAUUUUGGAGAAAAAGCAAAAGGGAGGUGUGCUGUUGUAAUGUGGCAGUUGCCAAUCAAAAUGAACUGUAACUUCUUGUCAGUUGCUGCCUGGUAAGAGGGCUAGCCCAGACACAACCUACUAGAAGUGUCCUUAUUACAUUUCAGGAACCAUGCCAAAUAGGGUGGCUGCCCAAUACAACCAGGUAGUUUGUCUUCAGAUCCAAUUGUACUGCUGUCUGUCCGGUUCAUUUGUAGUAUACUUAAUAAACAUAGUUUUCUACUAUUCUGACUUGGGUGAGUUCUUUUACUGUCUGCUACUCCAAACCACAGCAUUUGGUGGCUCAAGGGGAGUGGAGAACGCAAAACUCUUAGGACUCUCCUUCAAUUAAGGAAAUAACGUCAGAGCAACAUUGGCUUUGAAAGUUGUCCAGAUGUUCAGUUACAUUCACUCUUAAGAGUAGAGGGCCAGCAGGGUGUUGGUGGCACACUCCUUUAAUCCCAGCACACAGGAGGCAGAGGCAGGCAGAUCUCUAAGUUUGAGGCCAGCCUGGUCUCCAGAUCCAGUGCCAGGAUAGGCUCCAAAGCUACACAGAGAAACCCUGUCUCAAGAAAACUAAAAAGAAAAAAAAAGUUGAGGGCCAAUGCCCCUGGUUUUAGUAGGAGAAUGAAUGUUCCUGGUAAAAUCUGUGGUUAUGUCCAAGGGUUAAACUGCCUUGCCUUGUCUGAUAGAAGACCUUAAUUGUCAGGCAGCUUAUCCAGAGAAAAUCUGCACAUUGGCCCAUCUUUAUCUACUUUUUCAGGCUUAUCAGGAGUUGGCAGCCACUGAGAAGCAGUAGUAUAUCUGGUUACCCGACUGAGGCCAUACCUUAGAAACCUCAGUUUUUGUUAUUCCUUUUAUGUCUUCCCUUCUGGCCUUCAUUCUGACACUAAUGUCAUCUGAGGAUUUCAUGACAUCUGAUCUGAGAACUGGGAAACCUUAGGUUUCUUGCCAUUUAGCUGUCUGCCCUUGUCAGUAGUUUUCAGUAAGAUAAAACUAGCUGACCUGUUGGACCUGCCUGAAAAGGCACGAGAACUGAGAAAGACAAAAGGUAGUAGAGUCCAGAGGUUUGGACCCUUAUUAUCUUGGAGACACCUUAUUAGUAAUUAGGGUCGCUGAUCCCCUUUUAUCAGGUGUCAGGCCUCUAUUAUUGUAGACUCAUCAUUGAGAUGUUAGUUUCUGGAGCUUCCUUAAAACACCACCAUGUCACCACUGGGAGAUGGUGCACACAGGCCUUUAAUACCAGCACUGCAGAGGCAGGUGGGUCUCCAAGUUCCAGGCCAGCCUGGUCUAC
rnacentral:lncRNA from 1 species